rnacentral:rRNA from 1 species
GUUUAGAACGUCGUGAGACAGUUCGGUCCCUAUCCGCUGCGUGCGUAGGAAAUUUGUGGAGGGCUGUCCUUAGUACGAGAGGACCGGGACGGACGAACCUCUGGUGUGCCAGUUGUACCGCCAGGUGCAUGGCUGGUUGGCUACGUUCGGGAAGGAUAACCGCUGAAAGCAUCUAAGCGGGAAGCCUGCUCCGAGAUGAGAUUUCCAUCCCUUUGUGGGGAGAGGUGCCCAGGAGAACACUGGGUUGAUAGGCCGGGUAUGGAAG